GUUAUAUACUUGCAUGUGUAUCUAACACAAGUAAUGAUUUUUAUGCCGUCGGUUGUUGUGCUUCUCCUAUACCAAGCUCGAAAUGAAAACAUGGUGUCAUGACAGAAUUAGUUGGUUUAAAUGUAUAAUGGUUACAUUAUUGCGAGUGGCAUUUUCCAGAAAUUAGUUUGAUCAGUCAAUCUGAUGUAUUUUUCUUGGUCACGUUAAAAGAAAUCCUCAACCUUUUCAAUCUGAAGUGAACCAAUCCUCAAAGGCCUAUGGCAUCACUUAGAUGCUAUUAUUUGCUGCUCUUCUAAGGUAGGUACUCUAAUUUAUUCGUAUUGUCAACGCCAACACUGGAAUGAACCCAAAGUUAUUGUGCAUGGAUGCUUCAGGUAGGUACUCUAAUUUAUGCUUGUAUUGUCAACGCCAACACUGGAAUGAACCCAAAGUUAUUGUGCAUGGAUGGUAGGUUCCUUCUCUAAGUUGCAACUGAAGUUAGGGGCCUGAUAGGAACAGGCCUUAGUUUAGGUGUCUAAGUGAAUUUUGGCAACAAGUUUGAGUGCCUAUAGAUAACUUUGGCCUUUCCUAAUCUGUCUUAUUUUACUCUUGAUUUUAUAAUAAUUAUCUUAUUCGAUAUAGCUUCUGAAAAAGCGGCCAAGUUUGGCCUCUUCAAAGAUGGCUAUAUGUUUGAAUCAUCAACUGGUUUAUCACGGAUGUAAGAUUCUGUGUUGGCUUUGACUUGCAACAGUGAGAUUUUUUAUUUGAAUUUUACGGGAACACUAAGUUGCUCAAAAAAAAGAGACAAAAAAAGAUAAAGGUCUUGUUGCCUGUUAUUCAGUCCUCUUAGCUAUAAUAUUGAUAUUUUUCUAUUUUCUUCCUAGGUUACUGAGCUCACCAACAUGUCCAAUACUUGAAGGUAUUGGAAAGAAGCUAGCUUUUGAGAUAGCUGUUGGUUAAAACGACCGUGUGUGGGCUUUGCCCGUUUUCACAUUUGCAAAUCAGGCUGGUCUUUACAUGCUUGUGAAAACCUUGGUUGCACUUCAAGAUAUUACGUUGGAGAAAAUAGAUGAUGAUUAUGGAAAGAAAAACCUCUGCAUCGAGUUCCCACAGACGAUGCAACAGGGUUUUUCAUGUCUACAGGGGCGAAUUCGCUUGUCAAGCAUAAGCAUUCCUAUUUCUUACGAGAGAGUUGUGGCGUGGAAAUUUAUGAAUGAAGAAGCCAUUCGAACUUGAUACUAUGUGUGGGAAAACUAAUCAUUUGCUUCGCUUUUGGGUUUGGAUUACUAGUUUGUUGCAUAUUUUGGAUUAUUAUAAAUGAAAAUUUGUUUUGUGAUGUGUGUA